AAAAAGAGGCAUGCAGGCAAAACAGCACGAUGUGUCUCGGAUGAAGAAGAAUACGGCUAAGAAUUCUUCGUCGUCGUCGCGAGAACGAUAAUAAAGCGAAUGCGAAUGCAAAGACACAGCGCCAGCGUCGAAAACACAAAAACCAGCAGGAGAUUGCGCUCAGAGCAAAAAA